CGGAAACCGAAGGAGCGUGCAGGGCUGGGCAGGGCCAGCGCCCUCCCGCAACAGCCCCUCGGAGCUGUCCCCUUCAGGAGAGAGCAGCACCAUUCUCCCACAGAUGAGGCUGUGCAGGGGGCCUCAGCCCUUCGCCUCCAAGGGGUCUGAGCAGCGCCCCAGCUGUGGCCAUAGGAGAAGCAGGCCCGUGGGGACACUGAGACAAAGCGUCCCCAGCCCAGAGUGGCAGUGUGGUGACCUCCUGGGCCGGCGAAGGAGAGUCAGGGAGCUUGCUGGAGGCAGUGACGUGUGGCCUUGGCUGGGACAGUAG
rnacentral:lncRNA from 1 species